GACUCUGUGGCGCAACGGUAGCGGCCUUGACUCCAGAUCAGAAGGUGCGCGUGUUCAAAUCACGUCAGGGUCA
rnacentral:tRNA from 1 species